GACGAACGCUGGCGGCGUGCCUAACACAUGCAAGUCGAACGAAGAAUGUUUUCGGAAUAUUCUUAGUGGCGGACGGGUGAGUAACGCGUGAACAAUCUGCCCCGUACAAAGGGAUAGCCUCGGGAAACCGGGAUUAAAACCAUAUAACGCUUUAGUACCGCAUGGUAAUAAAGUCAAAUCGAUUAAGAGGUAUGGGAUGAGUUCGCGUCUGAUUAGCUAGUUGGUGAGGUAAGGGCUCACCAAGGCGACGAUCAGUAGCCGGCCUGAGAGGGUGAACGGCCACACUGGAACUGAGACACGGUCCAGACUCCUACGGGAGGCAACAGUGGGGAAUAUUGCACAAUGGAGGGAACUCUGAUGCAGCGACGCCGCGUGAGUGAAGAAGGUCUUCGGAUCGUAAAACUCUGUCCUUGGUGAAGAAAAGGACGGUAGCCAAGGAGGAAGCCCCGGCUAACUACGUG
rnacentral:rRNA from 1 species